CCUACGGGAGGCAGCAGUGGGGAAUAUUGGACAAUGGGGGCAACCCUGAUCCAGCCAUGCCGCGUGUGUGAAGAAGGCCCUCGGGUUGUAAAGCACUUUCAGUGAGGAAGAACGCCUGGUGGUUAAUACCCAUCAGGAAAGACAUCACUCACAGAAGAAGCACCGGCUAACUCCGUGCCAGCAGCCGCGGUAAUACGGAGGGUGCGAGCGUUAAUCGGAAUUACUGGGCGUAAAGCGCGCGUAGGUGGCUUGAUAAGCCGGUUGUGAAAGCCCCGGGCUCAACCUGGGAACGGCAUCCGGAACUGUCAAGCUAGAGUGCAGGAGAGGAAGGUAGAAUUCCCGGUGUAGCGGUGAAAUGCGUAGAGAUCGGGAAGAAUACCAGUGGCGAAGGCGGCCUUCUGGACUGACACUGACACUGAGGUGCGAAAGCGUGGGUAGCAAACAGGAUUAGAUACCCCAGUAGUC
rnacentral:rRNA from 1 species